AUGCUUGUCUCAAAGAUUAAGCCAUGCAUGUCUAAGUCCAAGCUGUGUUCACACGGCGAGACCGCGGACGGCUCAUUAAAUCAGUCGUGGUCCAAAUGGGCCAGUGCAAAUCCUACUUGGAUAACUGUGGUAAUUCCAGAGCUAAUACAUGCAACUGAUAUCCCGAAGGCGGUGUUUGGGCUUGCUUGCCUUGCGCUGCGCUGCUCUGACGGAUGCUUUUAUUAGACCAAGCCGCUGAGGACUUGAGGGUUCGCGCUCUCUUGUCUGACUCGUGUGAUGGUGACUCUGGAUAACCAAAUUCUGACAAGCGCACGUACUUCUCUUCUGAGCGAGACGGCGCUGCCACUUUCGAGUGUCUGCCUUAUCAGCUAUCAACCGUUCGUUAUGCGCGACCGAUGGCUUUGACGGGUAACGGGGAAUCAGGGUUCGAUUCCGGAGAGGCAGCCUGAGAGACGGCUACCACGUCCAAGGACGGCAGCAGGCACGCAAAUUACCCAAUCCCAGCAAAUGGGGGAGGUAGUGACGAAAUCUAACGAUGCGGGCGCCCUUUCUGGGGCCCCGCAAUCGGAAUGGGCACUUUCUAAACAACCUGUUGAGAACCUACU
rnacentral:rRNA from 1 species